rnacentral:rRNA from 1 species
GGGAUAACGCAGCGAAAGUUGUGCUAAUACCGCAUACGAUCUAUGGAUGAAAGCGGGGGAUCGCAAGACCUCGCGCGAUUGGAGCGGCCGAUAUCAGAUUAGCUAGUUGGUGAGGUAAAGGCUCACCAAGGCGACGAUCUGUAGCUGGUCUGAGAGGACGACCAGCCACACUGGGACUGAGACACGGCCCAGACUCCUACGGGAGGCAGCAGUGGGGAAUUUUGGACAAUGGGCGCAAGCCUGAUCCUAGCAAUGCCGCGUGCAGGAUGAAGGCCUUCGGGUUGUAAACUGCUUUUGUACGGAGCGAAAAGGCUCUCUCUAAUACAGGGGGCUCAUGACGGUA